rnacentral:rRNA from 1 species
AUACGUAGGGGGCAAGCGUUGUCCGGAAUUACUGGGCGUAAAGAGCUCGUAGGCGGCUCAGCAAGUCGGUCGUGAAAGCCCGAGGCUCAACCUCGGAACUGCGGUCGAUACUGCUGUGGCUAGAGUCCGGUAGAGGAGAGUGGAAUUCCCGGUGUAGCGGUGGAAUGCGCAGAUAUCGGGAGGGACACCAGUGGCGAAGGCGGCUCUCUGGGCCGGUACUGACGCUGAGGAGCGAAAGCGUGGGGAGCAAACAGGAUUAGAUACCCCAGUAGUCC